rnacentral:lncRNA from 13 species
AAUUGUGAGGGCCGGUCUUUCUCGUGCUAUUCUCGUGAUAGUGAGUAAGUCUCACGAGAUCUGAUGGGUUUAUAGGGGUUUCCGCUUUUCCUUCCUCCUCAUUUUCUCUUGCUGCCACGGUGUGAGAAGUGUGUUUCGCCUCCUGCCAUGAUUCGGAGGCCUCCCCAGCCGCGUCGCACUGUAAGUGCAGUUAAACCCGGUUUCUUUCCCCGGUCUCAGGGAUGUCUUUAUUAGCAGGGUGAAAACGGACUAAUAUGAUGGUUCGUCUCAGAAGCUGAAACAGAGCCACAUUAAAUGUAUCCAAGGCCGUAUCUGAAAAUAGCAGAGAACAGAGACAGUCCCAGGCAGCCUGGCUCUGACUCCAGCCCUCGUCCUGUUGACGGUGCUGUCUUUUCAGAGGCUGACAUCUCCUGGAAGUGCAGGUUAACAUGAAGAUUAAGAAGAAAGGAAAAAGUGCUACACAUGAAACAUCCCCACAGGAAUUUGACAUAUUUGUGGUUUUGGCAAUUAUGCAUAGACUCUCUGGAAUACA